UACGUAGGGAGCGAGCGUUAUCCGGAUUUAUUGGGUGUAAAGGGUGCGUAGACGGGAAGUUAAGUUAGUUGUGAAAUCCCUCGGCUCAACUGAGGAACUGCAACUAAAACUGAUUUUCUUGAGUGUUGGAGAGGAAAGUGGAAUUCCUAGUGUAGCGGUGAAAUGCGUAGAUAUUAGGAGGAACACCAGUGGCGAAGGCGACUUUCUGGACAAUAACUGACGUUGAGGCACGAAAGUGUGGGGAGCAAACAGG
rnacentral:rRNA from 1 species